CUCUUCGGAGCUAGUGGCGCACGGGUGCGUAACGCGUGGGAACCUGCCCUUAGGUUCGGAAUAACUCCCCGAAAGGGGUGCUAAUACCGGAUAAUGUCUUCGGACCAAAGAUUUAUCGCCUUUGGAUGGGCCCGCGUUGGAUUAGCUAGUUGGUGAGGUAAAUGCUCACCAAGGCGACGAUCCAUAGCUGGUCUUAGAGGAUGAUCAGCCACACUGGGACUGAGACACGGCCCAG
rnacentral:rRNA from 1 species